UACAGAGACUGCAAGCGUUAUUCGGAUUCACUGGGCGUAAAGGGUGCGCAGGCGGCCAAGUGUGUCAGGUGUGAAAUCCCGAGGCUUAACCUCGGAACUGCGCCUGAAACUACAUGGCUAGAGCAUUGGAGAGGGUAGCGGAAUUCACGGUGUAGCAGUGAAAUGCGUAGAUAUCGUGAGGAACACCAGAGGCGAAGGCGGCUACCUGGACAAUUGCUGACGCUCAGGCACGAAAGCGUGGGGAGCAAAAGGG
rnacentral:rRNA from 1 species